AUUGAACGCUGGCGGCAUGCUUUACACAUGCAAGUCGAACGGUAACAGGGUGCUUGCACCGCUGACGAGUGGCGAACGGGUGAGUAAUGCGUCGGAACGUGCCGAGUAGUGGGGGAUAACGCAGCGAAAGUCGUGCUAAUACCGCAUACGUACUGAGGUAGAAAGUGGGGGACCUUCGGGCCUCACGCUAUUCGAGCGGCCGACGUCUGAUUAGCUAGUAGGUGAGGUAAAGGCUCACCUAGGCGACGAUCAGUAGCGGGUCUGCAGAGGAUGAUCCGCCACACUGGGACUGAGACACGGCCCAGACUCCUACGGGAGGCAGCAGUGGGGAAUUUUGGACAAUGGGCGAAAGCCUGAUCCAGCCAUGCCGCGUGUCUGAAGAAGGCCUUCGGGUUGUAAAGGACUUUUGUCAGGGAGGAAAUCCCUAGUGCUAAUAACACUGGGGGAUGACAGUACCUGAAGAAUAAGCACCGGCUAACUACGUGCCAGCCGCCGCGGUAA
rnacentral:rRNA from 1 species